UACGUAGGGUCCGAGCGUUGUCCGGAAUUAUUGGGCGUAAAGGGCUCGUAGGCGGUCUGUUGCGUCGGGAGUGAAAACUUACAGCUUAACUGUGAGCGUGCUUCCGAUACGGGCAGACUUGAGGUAUUCAGGGGAGAACGGAAUUCCUGGUGUAGCGGUGAAAUGCGCAGAUAUCAGGAGGAACACCGGUGGCGAAGGCGGUUCUCUGGGCCUGGCCUGACGCUGAGGAGCGAAAGCGUGGGGAGCGAACAGG
rnacentral:rRNA from 1 species